CUUAUUAUUUUAGUAGUUUUAGUGCAUCAGAUAUGUUGGUUAUGUUGACUAAAACAUAGAUAACAGUUGUCUUAAUUGUAUAAGCUGUAUUAGCACUUCUCCGACUGAGAAUUAAGAAAAUUUUCAAAUUCCAUAGCAAAACAGAGGAUGGUCAUGCUCCCUAUGAUAUGUUAGUUUAUUCGUGUUAUCAUAUUUGAUGAUUUGUUCA
rnacentral:lncRNA from 1 species